CGGCUGCAGUCGAGAAUCUUCGGCAAUGGGCGAAAGCCUGACCGAGCGAUGCCGCGUGAGGGAUGAAGGCCUUCGGGUCGUAAACCUCUGUCACCCGGGACGAAGAAUGUGACGGUACCGGGAGAGGAAGCACCGGCUAACUACGUGCCAGCAGCCGCGGUAAUACGUAGGGUGCGAGCGUUAUUCGGAUUUACUGGGCGUAAAGGGUCCGCAGGGGGUUUGCCAAGUCCGAUGUGAAAUACCCCAGCUCAACUGUGGAACGGCAUUGGAUACUGGUGAACUGGAGUGCACGAGGGGUGAGCGGAAUUCCUGGUGUAGCGGUGGAAUGCGUAGAUAUCAGGAAGAACACCGAUGGCGAAGGCGGCUCACUGGCGUGCAACUGACCCUCAGGGACGAAAGCGUGGGGAGCAAACAGGAUUAGAUACCCGUGUANUC
rnacentral:rRNA from 1 species